AAAAAGCCAACAACAAAAAUCGCCGGUUGCAAUUGAAAAAUAUUGUAAUGCACCCACACCAGAUCUUCAUUCUUCAGCAGAUUUUUCCUGUUCAUCUAAUCGUCUUUCUUCAGCAGCUCCGUUUAAUAAGGAAUGCACAAAUCUAAAGGAAAAACAGUGCACAGAAUGGUGGUGUCCAGUGCACUCGGACUUUGGAGUUCUAGUCAAAAAAGUGAAGCCAAUAUCAGCUAAUGAUCAAAUAUUGAUUAAACGAGCCAAGUCGCGUUUUGCUUAUUGGACGAGAGAAAACACGGUUCGAUGUUGCACUCUAGACCGUAAACGCCAUACACAACCAACUACAUAUGAGUUGCCAUCUUGUUGGCCUACAGUAUUGGAAAGUGAUUUAGAUGAAUUAAGCAAUGCAUUUUCAAAAUUCUAAGAUUUUUAAAUUAAAAAUAAAAACAAAAAUAUAGCAGUAAGCACUGAAUAUGACUUUGGACUUAUUAAUCCUACCACCCUACACACUACUA